rnacentral:rRNA from 1 species
UUGUUGCAGUUAAAAAGCUCGUAGUUGGAUCUCGGGUGCUAGCGUAUGGUUCGCUUUACUGCUGUAACUAUACGUCUAGUCCUAAUUAAUCGGUUGGCCGAUUAUGUCCUUUAUUGGGUGUUUUCGGUAGCCGGUACGUUUACUUUGAGAAAAUUAGAGUGCUUAAAGCAGGCCUUACGCCUGAAUAAUGUUGCAUGGAAUAAUAGAAUAGGACCUCGGUUCUAUUUUGUUGGUUUUGUAGAGCAUUGAGGUAAUGAUUAAUAGGGACAGACGGGGGCAUUCGUAUUGCGGUGUUAGAGGUGAAAUUCUUGGAUCGCCGCAAGACGAACAACUGCGAAAGCAUUUGCCAAGAAUGUUUUCAUUAAUCAAGAACGAAAGUUGGAGGUUCGAAGACGAUUAGAUACCGUCCUAGUUCCAACCAUAAACGAUGCCAACUAGCGAUUAGCUGCUGUUAUUUAAACGACACAGCUAGCAGCUUCCGGGAAACCAAAGUUUUUGGGUUCCGGGGGAAGUAUGGUUGCAAAGCUGAAACUUAAAGGAAUUGACGGAAGGGCACCACCAGGAGUGGAGCCUGCGGCUUAAUUUGACUCAACACGGGAAAUCUCACCCGGCCCGGACACUGUAAGGA